ACUUGGUUGAGACUUUGGUGGUUUCUUUAUAUUUGAAGUUGCAUUACCACGUCCGUUGUGUUUUUCUUUAUAUUGCUUAUUUUCGUUACUUAAUAUUAUUCUUAACGUGAAUUUAGAAGAUUUCAACAAACAACACAAAUUCUAACACACCAUUUCAUGUGGUGGGUUUCUUUUCAAACUUAGCAGAUACAUGCAUGAUUCGUUGCUUUCAAUUUUAAACUACUGCUUUAAAUUUUAAAAUUAAAUAAAUAAUAAAACCCAAAUUAGAUCAAAACAAGUCUAAUAUUUAUGGAAAGGCAUAAUGAAAAACAAAUCAUGUCCAUUCUCUUUCAAAUAAGCUCUAAAUUGAUGGUCAUUCUAUUUCCAUUCACUUCAAUCUUCAUGGUUGACCUCAUUAAUAUUUCCCAUGAUUUUCGAUUGUGAAUACCUGCAUCAGAUUAAAUCAAAUAUUCAAUCAAUGAAACCAUAAAUACACAUCAACUCAGCCUCAAUAUUCACGCAUCUCUUUUCAAAACAUCUAAGCAUUUAGCAAUACAGUGUUGUCUUUCAAUUUCAAAUACGAUGGCAAACCACAUUGAUAUGAUUUCAACUAUCAAUGAUGUUCCCCGUAAUUGGAGGUUAAUAGUAAGGGUUGUUCGGUUGUGGGGAGUUCCCGAGUUCAACACACCAAACCAAUUUAGAUCACUAGAACUGGUUUUGAUGGAUUCUGAAGUAUAUUUACAACACUUCUUUUACAUAAUUUCUAUUUCUAUUCUAGCAUGUUGAGAUGUUGAGAUUUACGUCAUAUUAACUAACUGUUUUGCCAUUACAGGGAACUACGAUUCAUUGCAGUGUGAAGAAAACACUAAUUUACCUGUUUUAGAAACAGCUAUCUGAAGGUGUCGUGUACACCCUUACCACGUUUGAUGUGGUCAGAAGCACUGGCGAAUACCGUCCUACAAGUCAUGUUUAUAAGUUGGAUUAUAAUACUAAAUUCACAAGAUCUGAUAGCAUUGUUUUUCUAGAGAUAGUCUACACUUUCACACCACACCUGCUGAUGUUUUCAAAAAUGAUUUUAAUAGAGAUUUCUUGAUUGGUUUGUUAUUUUCAAAACAAAAUCUUGUGUAUAGUGUAUUUAUAUAAUUUAUAUAUAUGCCAUCUAUUUACAAUACGCCGCUGNNNNNNNNNNNNNNNNNNNNNNNNNNNNNNNNNNNNNNAUAUCUAUCGAAAAACUUAUUUUUACUAAAUAUAUUAUUUGUUUACCUUAGGUACUCUUAUCACUUAACAUUGUUUGGUCACUAUGUUGAUGAACUUAACUCUUUCCUUGCAUCCGGUGAUACAAUGAAUGUUGUUGUUGCACUUUUGUUUGCAAAAUCUAAGAUCUUCCAAGGUGAUAAUACAAUUGUUAUGUUUAAAAAUUGUACAGACUCUAAUGUUGUUAGUAAUCAGUUAACCAACAUUGAUCUGAUUUUUUCCAGGCAAACCAGUCCUACAGAAUUCUAUAAAUGCUUCGAGGCUUAUGUUUAACCCUGAAAUUGCUGAAAAUGAUUCUCUGAAAAAGAAUAUUGUAGUGCUGAUUCGGUGUGUAAAUCAGACAAAGACAACGACGUUACAGGAGAAUGGUUCACUACGGAGUUUUUAAAUGAAAUUAAGUGUUCCGGACUUCCAAACCAUAAGUUGAGACUAAAGGAAAAUGUGCCUGUCAUGCUUAUGCGCAACAUUGAUCAAGCACGUGGGUUGUGUAACGGAACAAGACUUUUGGUAAAUUAUNNNNNNNNNNNNNNNNNNNNNNNNNNNNNNNNNNNNNNNNNNNNNNNNNNNNNNNNNNNNNNNNNAGGAACAAACAUCGGUGACAAAAUUGUGCUUUCUCGCAAGAAUUUAAUUCCAACUGAUCCAGGACUACCUUUUAAAUUUCAAAGGAGACAAUUUCCUCUAACUCUUUGUUUUGCUAUGACAAUUAAUAAAAGUCAAGGACAGUCGCUCUCCCAUGUCGGAAUUUACCUUCCUCGACUGGUAUUCACUCACGGUCAGUUGUAUGUUGUGAUGUCUAGAGUCAGGUCGAGAAAUGGACUCAAGUUGUUGAUUUUGGAUGAUGAACAAAAAGUUUGCACUUCAACCAAAAAUGUUGUGUAUCGUGAAAUCUUCACCAAUGUCUAGAAUUUUUUUAAGGUAUAAAUGUCUAGCUUUCCAAUCAUAUCUACUAAUAAUGAUGUUCAUUUCGAUCACCAUUGAAACAUUAUGCUACUGGGAUAUAUUUGUUUAGUAUUGGUUAUUUUCUUCUUAUAUUUAUCCCAAUUUUAUCCCUUUAAAGGUUGUUUAUUUUGAUUUCUCAUUGAGUUAAACAACAUAUGCAGUAAUCAACCUAUAACCAAAUAACAACAUCAACAAAUGAAGAAAACAUUUCAUAAGGCACAUAAUCCAACUAUUCUAUAAGCAAAUUAUAAUUACAUACCUUUACUCAAUUGGAUGACCCUUCUUCAGAUGCUCGCCACUUUAGAAAAUUUCUAACUCUCCAUCAGUUCAACAUCAUUUCCAGCCUCUCUCCACUGCUUCAUAACUUUGAUCUCCUCUCUAGCAUUAUAAGCAUCAGCACGUCUCCGGUUGAAUCAGGAAGAUCGUUAAUCGAACGAACUCCUCAUACCCACGCUUCACCUUCCUACGAAAUUGAAACAACCCUUAAGAACAGAAAAUGCACAAUUUUUGUCUAUUAUAAAGCAAUUGAUCAUUGAUUUCUCACAAAGAUUUACUAACUUCAACAUCAAAAUAAAAAUCCUCAAGAACAAAGCUUCACCAGAUUUAGAAAUGUUGCA
rnacentral:lncRNA from 1 species